rnacentral:lncRNA from 10 species
UACUUUUUAAUGCCAUCAUACUAGUUCAUGAUAAAGCUAUGCUGAGUUAUGUACCCAUCCCCCACUGAUGGACAUUGAGGUGUUCUCCUUGGUUGAUUGACUUGGAAGGCUGUCUGUCACCUGGAUCCAUUCUGCCUGUCCAGUCUUAUUUUUCUCCUUUCUAGUCAUGUGAAGGUUAUUGCUUUUAGAACUUGGGUUAUGCAUUCCUUUUCUGUGUCUUCAUGUGUUAUCCCCUUACCUAUAAUUAGAAUUUCUCUUCUCCCUUCCACUGAAUUACAUAUAUUCUUCAAGGCCCAACUUAAGUCCCACCUCCUUUUUUGAACAUUCUUUCACUCUGAAAGUCCUCGUAGAUUUCCCUAUUCUCUGAAUGUUCUCUGUUCUCUGUGGUUAAUAGUACAAUGCCAAACACGCACACAAAAUGUCAAAUAAUUACCUUUCUAUGAAUUGAUUUCUUUUCUUUUUUACUCUUAGAGAUUUUCCUAGGAUUCUUAAAAGCUUAUGUUGAGAAGUUUUCCUAUAAGAGCAUAACUACUGAUGACUGGAAGGAUUUCCUGUAUUCCUAUUUUAAAGAUAAGGUUGAUGUUCUCAAUCAAGU